UUUCUGAGACCGGAAGUGGUCAUCAGCAAGUGUGGAGCCAAACGACAACAAGAUUCUCAGAGGGCGGAGCCAGAGAGCAGCGAUUGGUCAGACCAUAGAUAAUAUAGAAGACAGCGCGCUAGCGUCUCUAGCCUAUGUAUAUGUAUGGUCGGCACGUCUGGUAGCAUCUGUGGCUGCUGUUGAUCUUGUUUUUGGAGUAAAACACGGUGGAAGCUGAAUUAGUGAGGAUGACUCCUGCUCCUGUCAUCUCUAAGCUCCUCACACAUCUUUACCUGCACAUGAGGAAAAUCACUCCUGUAGAAUGCAGAUGUUCAGAGGGAGAUGAUGCCACAUCUGGUCCAGCUGAUGGAAGGUCUUGAAGUUCUCUGACUGGCCUCGACUGAAGAUGGUCGUCUCACUGGAUUUAAGGUUCAGAUGCUCAGUAACAAACUACACCAGUGAGCCAACAGGGAAGCUUUAGGUUUAUUAAAUGUUGCUAUGAAGGUAUCGCUGUUUUUCUUUGUGAAUGCACUGUGCUCCAACUGAAACUUGAAUUAGAACUUAGAAGUAAAUCCUUCCAUCUGAAAGGAUUUAGUUGCAUUAAUAACCUCAUAACAUUCAAAUUUUUUAUUCCAGUCUUGGUUGGAAAUAGAAUCUCUGUAUUGAUUCAGGUAAAAACUGAACUUCACAGCAUGUUGGAGCAAAACAACCAGAUGAAAACUGUGAUGGUGUUGGAUUGUCAGACCGUAAUGUUGCAGCUCAAAGCAGCUUUUCUAUCUCAGUUCAUUCUGACAUUCAGCUAUGAAUCAACACAGCAGAUGGUGAUCCAUGCUGUGGAAGUCUCACAUCUCCUGAUUUAAUGGAGCUGCUUUGCACUUUUUACACAGUUUAUUCACCAAGACUUUAUUUAAUAAAAGUCCCAUCUAGUUUUUAUGAGGAAUGUGAUGUUUUAAUUCUCUGUGAAUAACUGCAGUCUAAUGCAACAGCUGGAAUUGUAACAUCUGUCCUGAUAUUGAUCAUGAAGUAUUGAUCAGAAUACUUAUGGUUAGCAGUCAUCCCUGAAGUUUUACAUUAAAAUCUUUACUUGUGUUGUGAACUUUGGUAAGAAGCAGAAACUUUUGCGUUGCCAUGGAUACAUGAGUGUUAAAUUCUGUCCAUGUUUCCAUUUUGGGAAAUGCAGUCCAUUUCCAGAAUGUGGAGGAAUUUAGUCUCACAAUCACAGACAACAAAUAUUAUCUGAAAGUCGGGUUAUUGUUGUUUAUCAGCACAAUACAAAAAGAUUAAUGUUAGAAAUAUGCCAGUUAAGACUCUAGAAUAUCAUGAUUUAUGUAAAUUUACCUCAAUAAUAUGAAUGUUCAGGUUAAGAUUGUACAGUGAUAUUUAUUAUGCAAGUUUAGCUGAUUAAAGUUUAUGACUCUGCACUAAAAUAUUAUUUAAAUUGACAUCAUUAUUAUAAUAUUUAGGGUCAGACCCUACAGUAUUGAGAUUACGAAAUAAAAUAUUCUAUAAAAUGUAAAUACACUGAACUCAUUUGGAUAUAUUUAAGUGAGACUCUACAAUAUUAUUUGACACAAAUCUAUCUAAAUCAAAAUUUUAAUAAUUUUCACGCCAAACAUUUACUGGACUGAUUUAAACAUUAAAAUCACUCCUUUCUAAUCCUCUGCUGUACGUUCAAACCUGAGGCCUUAAAUAGAAACACACAAGUAUCUGAUUGAAGGAACUUCUGCAGAGUCCUGGUUCCAGAACAUGAUGAUAGAAUUAUAGACAAACUUUAACAAAAGCUGCCUGAGAGUUUACAGGUUUUUAUGUUAGAUUUCUUCAGUAGUUUAAUGAGCGUUAUCAGCAAAAAUCAAGUGUUCAUUUGAUGAACUUGAUUUCCUGAAACAUACAGAAUUGGAGCUCAUAUCUUUGGCAGCUGUAAAGUUUCUGCUCCUUCAAAGUUCACAACACAAUGAAUGAAUUCCUAAAACACUCUCAAUGCUAGAGGCGUUUGUGAUGCUGAAGCAGUGAUCAGUUUUUCUGUUUCUUCUCUGGAGAUGCACAAUGAGGGACGUCUGCAGCGACUGAGAAAGAGUCUCACCACAUCCUGACAUGAGGAAAAAGACUUUAUUGAAGACUACAAUGAGAAAAACUAUCAGACAGCAGACGGCAUGCAUUCAAGGUGAGCUCUGAACAUCUGAUCUGGAACAGGAAUUCAAUAACGGCAGCAUGAGCUUCAUUUCAGUCUGUAGCUGCUGAAUUCAUGGAUGAAUCAUCUGGUACUAGAGAGGAAGACCAUCAAACAUCCACGUCAGCUGAUGGAGGUCCAAGAGUCUCACCUAACAACCAACCUACAGAGUGAAGACCUCGAAUCUGAUUGGACGGCCUCCUAUUCAGCCACGUGUGAACAAAUGCCUCUAAGUUGAUUUGUUUUCUAAAAUAAAUCUAGUUUGAGUCCUAA